rnacentral:rRNA from 1 species
CGGGACGGGUGAGUAACGCGUGGAGAACCUGCCGUAUACUGGGGGAUAACACUUAGAAAUAGGUGCUAAUACCGCAUAAGCGCACAGCUUCGCAUGAAGCGGUGUGAAAAACUCUGGUGGUAUACGAUGGUUCCGCGUCUGAUUAGCUAGUUGGUGGGGUAAUGGCCUACCAAGGCAACGAUCAGUAGCCGGCCUGAGAGGGUGAACGGCCACAUUGGGACUGAGACACGGCCCAAACUCCUACGGGAGGCAGCAG